UUAUCAUCAAAUGUCAUGAUCGUUACAACUCCAAACAAAAAUACAAAAAAAAGAGAAAUAAGAACAACAACUCAAGAGCUCAAAAACUCAACAACACUUAAACUGGAAACCAAGGAUAGGCAAACUCAUGCAGCAACCUGCUUCUCGAACCACUUCUUGAACCUUGCCUUCAUCCUCGCCUAUGGCUCCCAAGUCUCCUCUGUCACACCAUCGCAGUCCCACAUGACUUUGAUCGAAGGAAUCAUCUUCCGCCGAAGUUCCUUGAUCCUCCUCUCGAGAACCCUCACUAGUCUCGCCUCCCAAGUCAUGUUGGGUU
rnacentral:sRNA from 1 species